rnacentral:sRNA from 1 species
AGACCUUGACCCUGUCGCUUUCAGAAAAACCACUGGCAGAAGAUCCGGACCAUGGUCAAUCUGCCGGUCAUAAGCCCUUUCAAGAAGCGCUACGCCUGGGUGCAGCUGGCAGGGCACACUGGUGAGCCGUGGGGCGGGUGGGCGGGUGCCCGCGACGGGAAGGGGCUGGGCGGCGCUGACGGAUGCCGGUCCUCAGGGAGUUUUAAGGCGGCGGGCACCAGCGGGCUGAUCCUGAAGCGCUGCUCGGAGCCGGAGCGCUACUGCCUGGCGCGGCUGAUGGCUGACGCGCUGCGCGGCUGCGUGCCUGCCUUCCACGGCGUGGUGGAGCGCGACGGCGAAAGCUACCUGCAGCUGCAGGACCUGCUCGAUGGCUUCGACGGACCUUGUGUGCUCGACUGCAAAAUGGGCGUCAGGACUUACCUAGAGGAGGAGCUGACCAAGGCCCGUGAGCGGCCCAAGCUGCGGAAGGACAUGUACAAGAAAAUGCUGGCGGUGGAUCCUGAAGCUCCCACGGAGGAGGAGCACGCGCAGCGCGCCGUCACCAAGCCGCGCUACAUGCAGUGGCGGGAAGGCAUCAGCUCCAGCACCACCCUCGGCUUCCGCAUCGAGGGCAUCAAGAAAGCGGACGGCUCCUGCAGCACCGACUUCAAGACUACGCGAAGCCGAGAGCAGGUGCUUCGCGUCUUUGAAGAGUUUGUGCAAGGAGAUGAGGAAGUGCUGAGGCGGUAUCUGAACCGCCUGCAGCAGAUCCGGGACACCCUGGAGGUAUCCGAGUUCUUCAGGAGGCACGAGGUGAUCGGCAGCUCGCUCCUCUUUGUGCACGAUCACUGCCAUCGCGCCGGCGUGUGGCUCAUCGACUUCGGCAAGACCACGCCCCUCCCCGAUGGCCAGAUCCUGGACCACCGGCGGCCCUGGGAGGAGGGCAACCG